rnacentral:rRNA from 1 species
UACGGAGGGUGCAAGCGUUAUCCGGAUUCACUGGGCUUAAAGCGUGUGUAGGUGGAUGCCUAAGUACCUUGUGAAAUCCCACGGCUUAACCGUGGAACUGCUUGGUAUACUGGGUGUCUUGAGUCACUCAGGGGCGAGCGGAACAAAUGGUGGAGCGGUGAAAUGCGUAGAUAUUAUUUGGAACGCCAAUGGUGAAAACAGCUCGCUGGGGGUGCACUGACACUGAGACACGAAAGCCAGGGGAGCGAACGGG